rnacentral:rRNA from 1 species
GCGAAGGCAGCUUGCUGGACUGUAACUGACGCUGNGGCACGAAAGCGUGGGGAUCAAACAGGAUUAGAUACCCUGGUAGNCCACGCCGUAAACGAUGAAUGCUAGCUGUUAGCGAUAUACUGUNAGCGGCACAGAGAAAUCGUUAAGCAUUCCACCUGGGGAGUACGCCGGCAACGGUGAAACUCAAAGGAAUUGACGGGGGCCCGCACAAGCGGAGGAACAUGUGGUUUAAUUCGAUGAUACGCGAGGAACCUUACCUGGGCUUAAAUUGCAGUGGAAUAACGUGGAAACAUGUUAGCCUUCGGGCCGCUGUGAAGGUGCUGCAUGGUUGUCGUCAGCUCGUGCCGUGAGGUGUCGGCUUAAGUGCCAUAACGAGCGCAACCCUCAUCGAUAGUUACUAACAGGUUAAGCUGAGGACUCUAUCGAGACUGCCGACGUAGGUCGUGAGGAAGGUGGGGAUGACGUCAAAUCAGCACGGCCCUUACGUCCAGGGCUACACACGUGUUACAAUGGGGGGUACAAAGGGCAGCUACCUGGCGACAGGAUGCUAAUCUCUAAAACCUCUCUCAGUUCGGAUUGGAGUCUGCAACCCGACUCCAUGAAGCUGGAUUCGCUAGUAAUCGCGCAUCAGCCACGGCGCGGUGAAUACGUUCCCGGGCCUUGUACACACCGCCCGUCAAGCCAUGGGAGCCGGGGGGACCUGAAGUAUGCAACCGUAAGGAGCGUCCUAGGGUAAAACUGGUGACUGGGGCU